UUGCUCCUUCAGCAGCGGCAUAUCUCUUCAUGAUGUCAACCACUUCUGGCUUCAUAAUCUCUUCCUUAUUAGAUGUGUUGCAGAGAUAAUAUAGUGAUCCAAUUGCAUAGUUCACGGUGUUUCUAACAGGCAGUGGCGGAUCUACAUACAACGUUGGUGGGGCUCAAGCCCAACCAAGAUUUUCAAAAUAAAGUUUUCAUCAUAUACGGCCAUAUCAUAUCAUCAGCUGUAGCAGGAGUGGCUUAGGUAUUUUGUCAAUGUCAAGACCACCCCAGUUCGAACUAGACAAUGGUCAUACAAUAGUCUUCUUUUUCUUCUUUCUACCCAAACUGGUUGUCUUCUUUUCUCUUCUUUCUACCCACACUGGUUUUUUCUCCUUUCUCCCCUAGCACAUUAGCCUUAAACUGGAGAAGGGGCUUCGUUUUUUUCUUUCUUUCUUGGGUCAAACUGGAAUAUAAUGACCUUCUCUUCUGUGUAGUUGGUCUCUACUUUGGGUGAUAAUUUUUUUUCUUAAGAUGUUAUGUCUUUUUUCUAUGUAGGUUGCAAAGAAACAUUAAUUUGUUGUACUUUUUAUUUUCAUAUGAGAUUCUCACUUUCAUUGAAUUGAUUAAACAGAAGUGCAGACAAGUUCUUAAUUUUUGUGUCUCAAAAUAGUGUACGUAUAAAGGUAUAAUAUAUUUUUGUUUAAAAUUGGUAUAUUAUAAAUUUUUUUAUCAAACAAAAAAGAAAAUUCAAGUCCACCCGGUUCAUGAAUCCUGGAUCCGCCACUGCUAACAGGGCUUGAUAGACAUUGAAUAACAAGGGGUAUCCCACCACUCUGGGUGACAAUUGCUGCAUUGGCUGGAUCAGGGCAACAGUUGCAGAUUCCGCCUACCCCAAAUUCCAGAAGCUUCUCAUUUGGUUCUGUUAUGCGGUCCAGAAAAAGUUCCACCACAUUGAGCUGGCGCAAAUAGGUAUAGUUGUAAGGAUCAUAAGCAAAGUUCGCCAGAUUAGCAACAAUCUUCUCUUUUGAUUCUUCACUGGUAGUACUCUGAAAUUGAGUCACCACUUCCUGAAGGUAUUGUAGCCUUGAAGUACCAUAUCUUCCAGUUCGCUCUUCUUGCCUCCUAUCAUUGGUAAACAUCUGUUGAGUUGGUGAACCUCACUGACCUUUUGCUCAGUAAAGUCCUUGCUUAGUCAUGCUCAGUAAAGCCCUUGCUUAGUCACGUAAGUCUGAACACGAUUGCCUGAAACAAAUGAAUUUGGUUAGCAUGCAAGCCUAACUAUAUAAAGAGGCUUUUGAGUCUAGUUAAGGAUGAACUCUGCCCAAGUGGAUUUUUCGAACUCAAAACAUCAAAUAGAUUAGAAUCAACAAACUACAUAAGGAGCAAAGAAAUACAAUUCAAUUCCAAUGAAGCGAUAACUAGUAUGUAACGUAAUUAAGUUGUUUUUUAACACUAGUGCCUACCUAAAAGACCUUCUAUACAACCCAGUAUGGCAUACAAGCCUUGAUUGGGUAAUCAUCUUUGGUUACUGAGGUCAUUUUUUCAUGCAACAGUUGCAGCAAUCAUCAAUUAUGAUCUGACAAUAUCUAUACAUGAUGGAACUACAUGUACAACGGGAUCCAACAAAAUGAAUACAGCACAGCAAUCCCAAACUGGGCCCAAGUCUGAAUGUUUAACACUUGAUUAAAUGCGCCUGUUCAAGCCUUCACCGCAUGGACACUUAAAGGUGCCUGCUCUCAGUGCAUGUUCUCACUUGAAAUUUCCAUUUCUAUCCUAAGGGCAAUUUUCCUGACAUAUCUCCCCAGAUUGUCUAUGGGAGCCUGGGAGGUAUCGCCCGAGCAACAACCAAUAUCCACCCAACUAAACCCCACUUCUUUUCUAAAUCUCCUAUCUAUCAUAGAGUUCCUUAUGUUGGAACCGAGAUAAAUAGAGUUCCUUAUGUUGGCGCCAGUCUCCCAUUCCCGUUCUCUGCAUACAAGUUUAACAACAACACAUAAGAACCUGGUUUACUUGGCCCAAAUCCCAUCAAAACGUCUGCUGCUCACUGAACCCAAGAAAGCUUUGCAACAGAGAACACCAUGUCUGUCCUUAAGUCCCAAUACUAAACUAUUCUAGAGGAGAUGGUUCUGUCUAAUUACCGUUCACCAUUUAUUGAAAGACCUGAAGGCCAACCUCAACCCCUCCCUUUCUAACCACAUGCAGUCGGUAAAGAAAGAAAUAUGACUGAAUCAGGUCUCAUCCCUUCUUUUACCAUCUCCUUGUAUAUUUCUGUCACAGAGUUAUAUGCAGAGAGUACUGCAGCUGAAGCAAAUUGAUUUCUAUGAGGUCUGACACUCGAACACUCUUUGGGACUCGUAAAUGCUUCCUCACUUUGCAUACAUAUCUAGUCAUACCUUAGAUCAUUCAAUAGUCCAAGCUUUAUCAGAAAAUAGUGACAUUUGUUGGCUGUACUUGAGUGAAAUAACCUGAGCACGACCAAUUGCACCUUAAGAGACGACCAAAUGCAUAAAUCUUUGGCUUAAGUUCCAUAAAUGCUAAUAAGAAUGUCUUUACUGCAUCCUAACAAGCAUAACCUGACUUCAGGUAUGGUUUCUCUAUGGUUCAACUCAUCAAAAACCAUGACAGGGUCAAGCAUGGGCUCAAAAUACGCAUAUAGGGUCAAGGAUAGACUCAAAAUAAGCAUAUAGGGUCAAGGAUGACUCAAAAUUAGCAUAUAAAAGCUAUUGCAAACAUUAUGCUUUGGCAGAAAGCCAGUCAUAAUGCAAAAGCUGUAGAUCAUCUGCCUUCUUCAUCCAACUUCACAGUCGAUAUAGCGGAUUAG
rnacentral:lncRNA from 1 species